rnacentral:rRNA from 1 species
UUUUGUAUAAUGGGUCAGCGACUUAUAUUCUGUAGCAAGGUUAACCGAAUAGGGGAGCCGAAGGGAAACCGAGUCUUAACUGGGCGUUAAGUUGCAGGGUAUAGACCCGAAACCCGGUGAUCUAGCCAUGGGCAGGUUGAAGGUUGGGUAACACUAACUGGAGGACCGAACCGACUAAUGUUGAAAAAUUAGCGGAUGACUUGUGGCUGGGGGUGAAAGGCCAAUCAAACCGGGAGAUAGCUGGUUCUCCCCGAAAGCUAUUUAGGUAGCGCCUCGUGAAUUCAUCUCCGGGGGUAGAGCACUGUUUCGGCAAGGGGGUCAUCCCGACUUACCAACCCGAUGCAAACUGCGAAUACCGGAGAAUGUUAUCACGGGAGACACACGGCGGGUGCUAACGUCCGUCGUGAAGAGGGAAACAACCCAGACCGCCAGCUAAGGUCCCAAAGUCAUGGUUAAGUGGGAAACGAUGUGGGAAGGCCCAGACAGCCAGGAUGUUGGCUUAGAAGCAGCCAUCAUUUAAAGAAAGCGUAAUAGCUCACUGGUCGAGUCGGCCUGCGCGGAAGAUGUAACGGGGCUAAACCAUGCACCGAAGCUGCGGCAGCGACGCUUAUGCGUUGUUGGGUAGGGGAGCGUUCUGUAAGCCUGUGAAGGUGUGCUGUGAGGCAUGCUGGAGGUAUCAGAAGUGCGAAUGCUGACAUAAGUAACGAUAAAGCGGGUGAAAAGCCCGCUCGCCGGAAGACCAAGGGUUCCUGUCCAACGUUAAUCGGGGCAGGGUGAGUCGACCCCUAAGGCGAGGCCGAAAGGCGUAGUCGAUGGGAAACAGGUUAAUAUUCCUGUACUUGGUGUUACUGCGAAGGGGGGACGGAGAAGGCUAUGUUGGCCGGGCGACGGUUG